CCUACGGGAGGCAGCAGUGGGGAAUAUUGCGCAAUGGGCGAAAGCCUGACGCAGCGACGCCGCGUGAGGGAUGAAGGUCUUCGGAUCGUAAACCUCUGUCAGCAGGGAAGAACGGUCACUGUGCUAAUCAGCAGUGAAUUGACGGUACCUGCAAAGGAAGCACCGGCUAACUCCGUGCCAGCAGCCGCGGUAAUACGGAGGGUGCGAGCGUUAAUCGGAAUUACUGGGCGUAAAGCGCUCGUAGGCGGUAUGUCAAGUCAAGGGGGAAAUCCCCGCGCUCAACGUGGGAACUGCCUUUGAAACUGGCAAACUGGAGAGUGUGAGAGGAUAGUGGAAUGCCAGGUGUAGGAGUGAAAUCCGUAGAUAUCUGGAGGAACAUCAGUGGCGAAGGCGACUAUCUGGCACAUAACUGACGCUGAGGAGCGAAAGCGUGGGUAGCAAACAGGAUUAGAUACCCCUGUAGUC
rnacentral:rRNA from 1 species